rnacentral:piRNA from 1 species
UGCUCCAGCUCAUUGUGUAUCUGUUCUUU